AUCAUUUAAUGCGGCGAAGCAAACCUUUGGCACCCUGCACUUCAUUACUGGACACCACUCUCAACUCUUAACUGAAUCCUGAAUCCUCUGAAGACACUGGAUCCGACUUGGCCCUUUUCAAUGGAUUUGUCUCCUCCUGUUAGAAUGACACCCCAUGAAAAGAGGGACCUGGUCUGCCUGUUUGUCGUGCCCGGAAAACAGCACUCAGCUCAAAGCAGGAGUAUAACUAAUGGCUGUAACGUAUAUUGUCCAUCUCCUAGAAUAAACGAGACUAAAGUGAUUUUUGAGCCUUUUCAUUCCAGAAAUGGAAUGGAGAAUUGAUUUCCAUACAACAGAUUCGUGUGGAAAUAAAUCACUCAACGGUCAGGUUUCUGUAGAACGAGUGAAUGAAUGAAUGAACGAAUGAACGAAAUUAACCGAGGAACGUGGCUUCUUAGAGGUAUCUGGUUUUGACGCCCCGAGUAUCAGAGCCAAAUUUCCAGUUUUGCUUAGUAACUUCUGGGUUACCUUUGAAGGUGAUAAAAAGAAAAAGAAAAUGAUUAAAUAAAACA